rnacentral:rRNA from 1 species
CAGUAGCCGCGGGAAUACGUAGGUAGCGAGCGUUGUCCGGAAUUAUUGGGCGUAAAGGGAGCGCAGGCGGGCGAGUAAGUCUUUCUUAAAAGUGCGGGGCUCAACCCCGUGAGGGGAGAGAAACUACUCAUCUUGAGUGCAGGAGAGGAAAGCGGAAUUCCUAGUGUAGCGGUGAAAUGCGUAGAUAUUAGGAAGAACACCAGUGGCGAAGGCGGCUUUCUGGACUGUAACUGACGCUGAGGCUCGAAAGCCAGGGGAGCGAACGGGAUUAGAUACCCGUGUAGUCCCUGUCUCUUAUACA